rnacentral:rRNA from 1 species
UACGAAGGGGGCUAGCGUUGCUCGGAAUCACUGGGCGUAAAGGGUGCGUAGGCGGGUCUUUUAAGUCAGGGGUGAAAUCCUGGAGCUCAACUCCAGAACUGCCUUUGAUACUGAGGAUCUUGAGUUCGGGAGAGGUGAGUGGAACUGCGAGUGUAGAGGUGAAAUUCGUAGAUAUUCGCAAGAACACCAGUGGCGAAGGCGGCUCACUGGCUCGAUACUGACGCUGAGGAGCGAAAGCGUGGGGGAGCGAACAGG